rnacentral:rRNA from 1 species
GGUUGUCGUCAGCUCGUGUCGUGAGAUGUUGGGUUAAGUCCCGCAACGAGCGCAACCCUUGUCAUUAGUUGCCAUCAUUUGGUUGGGCACUCUAAUGAGACUGCCGGUGACAAACCGGAGGAAGGUGGGGAUGACGUCAAGUCCUCAUGGCCCUUAUGGGUAGGGCUUCACACGUCAUACAAUGGUCGGUACAGAGGGUUGCCAACCCGCGAGGGGAGCUAAUCCCACAAAGCCGAUCGUAGUCCGGAUCGCAGUCUGCAACUCGACUGCGUGAAGUCGGAAUCGCUAGUAAUCGCAGAUCAGCAUGCUGCGGUGAAUACGUUCCCGGGUCUU